GUCACACAAAAAGAAGUUAAUGCGCCUGACUCAUCUGGAGACCAACCGCAACCUGAUACUGAAACUGGACAAGAACCACGAAAGACAACUCCCGGUGACUCCAACUGAUGAACACAGGAAAGUGCUAAACCAGUCUGCAGUGAACUGCAGCCAGCAACCCGCCGGGAGAAUCGUGCGCACCAGGAACGUGACGACGGCUCGCCGUUAGAAAAUCGGUUACCGCAGUUUUAUUAUUGCAGUGUAUAACGCAGGAAAGCCACUGUGAACAUUUAAAAGACCCAAGACUGAAAAUAUUUGGUAAAAUGCGGUCAUUUCUGGUUUAAAACAAAACAAUUUGGCAAAUUAGGAAAAGAACAAAUUGCCUUUAACUUAAAAAAAAAACUAGCAGAAAUCUGCAGAAAACAUGAAACAUACUAUGUAAUUUCUGGAAAGAAAGUACCAUUUAGGCUAUCCUGUGUUGUACUGGAUUUUUAGGAAAAGCCAAAAUUGUACAGAUUCUUACCUACAAAACCAGGAUUACCUGUCAGAUUAUCAGAGGGUUCUGCGAAUGAUCAGCUAUGAGAUCAACAACCAAAAGCCACAGUAUCCCAGGAUACAACAACAAAAACAGCUCGGGGAAACCCAAGAAAAUUGCAACACUUCACCUGAGGAACACAGGGGAGACGGAGUUCAUAAAGAACCACGUGAAUGUUAGCCUCAAGACCGGACGAGCAUCACCUCCGGACAGCUAAUCUCAAAACACACAAUCCCAAACAAACGGCAGGAAUCUGGGCCGCGGGACGGCACUCUACCAGAGCUCGACCCUGGAGUCUGCGGUUCUUCGCGACGGGUGUAAAAUGUGAAACAGCAGCCGCCCUGCACAGACCCCGCCGCCCCAGCGCCCUCCGGCCCCUUCUCGGAAACCCCGCCCCGCAGUCCGGGCAGAAGUCCCGCCCUCGGAAGAGCCCUUUGCUCCCGUCUGCCUCUGCGCCGUCAAUAGGCGUUUCCGGUCGGUGGCGGACGCGAGCGCGCAGAGCAAACGUCAGAGUCGUGUGCGCGCCUGCGGCUCUCGCAGCCUGGCUCUCUCGGCGCCCGCGAGCUGAGGCUGCGCAGCCCGGCCGUGAAGGUUGGUUUCUUCGAGUUUCCAGUUUAUAAGAAACAGCUGUGAUCCAGUCACCCUGCAUUUUCCCAGCUGCUGUAAAAGGGAAUUUGCAGCAUUCCCUACAGGAGAUGUCCCAUCUCUAAGCAUCUCACUGCUGCUAAGGAGGUGAGACACAUCCAUCCUAGCUAAACAAUAUGCAUGCAAUAAAUAACCUUGCAAUCAUUGGUCUCUAACA
rnacentral:lncRNA from 1 species